rnacentral:rRNA from 1 species
UUUUAAAUGAUUUGAGAUGGCCUCUCGCCCUAUUCAGUGUAACAGCUGUGGUAGUGGGUUUGGUCGCUCGCAUUUAAAUUGGAAGGGUAAUGGUGGACCGCACUUCUCCCUUAGUAGGACGUUGCGACCUGUCAAAUAAUAUCCUAAGUAUUUGGCUAAUUUGUCUGUUUUUAGGCAGUACUGAAAGGUAUUUCCUUUAACAGUUUUAGCCGUUUAAAUACUGGAUAAAAUUGACAGUAACGAAUCAUGGUGUUGAGCCACUUGAAAUUGUAUAUUUAAUUAUGUAUAAUGGAAAGUGUCCUUGUGGCUGUUUGCAAGUGGGUUGGUAAUUAGUUUUAGUCGGAUUUUGGUCCGUCUAGCUAUUCCGCCUACUGUUGGUAAACUGUUCCUUGGACUGUGCUUAUAACACCGGUCGGCAGCGAUUCAGGUUCAGGCUCUUAUCCGACCCGUCUUGAAACACGGACCAAGGAGUUUAGCGUGUACGCAAGUCAUUGGGUGUAUAAAACCCAAAGGCGCAAUGAAAUUGAAA